rnacentral:rRNA from 1 species
UACAGAGGGGGCAAGCGUUGUUCGGAAUUACUGGGCGUAAAGGGCGCGUAGGCGGCCUGCUAAGUCGAACGUGAAAUCCCCGGGCUCAACCCGGGAACUGCGUCCGAUACUGACAGGCUCGAAUCCGGGAGAGGGAUGUGGAAUUCCAGGUGUAGCGGUGAAAUGCGUAGAUAUCUGGAGGAACACCGGUGGCGAAGGCGGCAUCCUGGACCGGUAUUGACGCUGAGGCGCGAAAGCGUGGGUAGCAAACAGG